UACAGAGGUCUCAAGCGUUGUUCGGAUUCAUUGGGCGUAAAGGGUGCGUAGGUGGCGCCGUAAGUCGGGUGUGAAAUUUCGGAGCUUAACUCCGAAACUGCAUUUGAUACUGCGGUGCUUGAGGACUGGAGAGGAGACUGGAAUUUACGGUGUAGCAGUGAAAUGCGUAGAGAUCGUAAGGAAGACCAGUGGCGAAGGCGGGUCUCUGGACAGUUCCUGACACUGAGGCAACGAAGGCCCAGGGGAGCAAACGGG
rnacentral:rRNA from 1 species